AGUGAACGCUGGCGGUAGGCCUAACACAUGCAAGUCGAACGGCAGCACAGUAAGAGCUUGCUCUUACGGGUGGCGAGUGGCGGACGGGUGAGGAAUACAUCGGAAUCUACUUUUUCGUGGGGGAUAACGUAGGGAAACUUACGCUAAUACCGCAUACGACCUACGGGUGAAAGCAGGGGAUCUUCGGACCUUGCGCGAUUGAAUGAGCCGAUGUCGGAUUAGCUAGUUGGCGGGGUAAAGGCCCACCAAGGCGACGAUCCGUAGCUGGUCUGAGAGGAUGAUCGGCCACAUGGAAACGGGGCAACGUCCCAGGCCCUUACGGAAGGAGCCGGUGGGGAUAUUUGGCAAAGGGGGGCAAGCCUAUCCAGGCCAUACCGGUGGGUUGAAAAGGCCUUUGGGUUUUAAAGGCCUUUUUUUGGGGAAAAAAAAGCAGCGGUUAAAAACCCGGCGGUACGGACGUAACCAAAAGAUAAGGCACCGGUUAACUUCGG
rnacentral:rRNA from 1 species